UACGUAGGGUGCAAGCGUUGUCCGGAAUUAUUGGGCGUAAAGAGCUCGUAGGCGGUUUGUCGCGUCUGCUGUGAAACCUCGGGGCUUAACUCCGGGCCUGCAGUGGGUACGGGCAGACUAGAGUGCGGUAGGGGAGACUGGAAUUCCUGGUGUAGCGGUGAAAUGCGCAGAUAUCAGGAGGAACACCGGUGGCGAAGGCGGGUCUCUGGGCCGAUAUUGACGCUGAGGAGCGAAAGCGUGGGGAGCGAACAGG
rnacentral:rRNA from 1 species